UCACAUCAUUUUAUCUAUUACUUUUCUAUUAUUUUGAUAUCAUUUGCUUAGAUUUUUGAAAAAAAAACAGGAAUAGAAUAGAAAAAUUGAAAUAAAUAAAAUAACAAAACGGGCUGUACAGUUGUGUAGUGGUUAGCACUUUCGCCUUGCAGCAAGAAGGUCCCUGGUUCGCGUCCCGGCUUUCCCGGGAUCUUUCUGCAUGGAGUUUGCAUGUUCUCCCUGUGCAUGCGUGGGUUCUCUCCUAGGGGCUUUCGACCAAAGAGCACCAGGUGCUAGGUUGGUUCAAAGUUGAGAGCCAGUACUUUUUUGGUUCAAAUCUCAUGCCGCCCCAGAACGGGUUUGUGUUUCCAUUCAGAAGGAGCAAAGUUGGAGCUGCGUCAUUGCGCCACCACAAAACGUGUGUACGUCACUGCGUACGUAGCCGUUCAACAGCGUUCACGCCGUACGGAAACCCACACAACAACAAUGGAGGACUUCAUUGGAGUGGUGUACAAGGCUUUGCUAGUGUGUCUCGCCAUCGCUGAACAGCAAAACCUUCUGUUAGGGGUUACCCAUCGGCGUCGCCGUUCCAAUGUCCGGCGAUCACGUUUGAGAAGAAAGAUGUCACCCCGCCCUCUGCCCGUGACAUGCUCGGCUCUCAACUCUGGCCACCUCUGGCCCAGCAACGAGUUGGUGCCCGAAACGGCCCCAGUUUUUGGAGCCCGGAGCCGCAGCUCCGGUGGUCGAAACACAAAAAACCGGCGCCAAGUCGGGCGCCGGCUCCAACUCCGAACGGGCUCCACCCCGGUCGAAAAGAGGGUACUCCGGCUUCCUCCCACAGUCCAAAAAUAUGCUGAGGUUAAUUGAUUAUUCUAAAUUGCCCGUAGGUGUGAAUGUGAGAGUGCUUGUUUGUCUUUGUAUGUAGCCCUGCGACAGACUGGCGAUCUGUCCAGGGUGUCCCCUGCCUUCACCCGAGUCAGCUGGGAUAGACUCCAGCCCCCCCGCGACCCUAGUGAGGAUUAAGCGGUGUAUAGAUAAUGGAUGGAUGGAUGGAAAAUAACAAAACACACACCAGUGAGAAUAAACUGUAAUGUUUUACAUAUUAAAGCUCCCACAUGGUGAAAGUC